GGGUCCGGACACACUGAGGAUUGACAGAUAUACGUCGUGCGUUGAGCUCUCUCGGGGGCCGAGCGCAUGACUGAAAGAUGCUAGUUCUUUCAUGAUUAUGUGAUAGGUGGUGCAUGGCCGUUCUUAGUUCGUGGAGUGAUCUGUCUGCUUAAUUGCGUAUCAUAAAAAAAGAGACCUAGUAUACGCGUAAGAUAUCGUUUACGGUUCGUGACCCCCUUCGGGCGUGUGUCGCACGUACGUAUCAUACGCACUGGUCUCCGAUAGCAACGAACGUGACCGUACUCUAUUGUUGCAGCGAAUGUAUGCAUCUUCGGGUGUAUCUACCGCUGCUUAGCAUAUUUCAUGCCUCGUGCGUGUGUAUGCAUUAAACUAUAGAGACCGCUGUAUUUUUUUUAAACCAGAGGAAGGAUACGGCAAUAACAGGUCUGUGAUGCCCUCAGAUGUUCCGGGCUGCACACGUGCUACAAUGAUCAUUGCACUGUGCAUCUAACCCGAUGUGCGUGGACGCCACGGUAUGUAUUUAUGCUUCGGCGUAGUAUAUAUCAGUUGGUCGGUCGCGCCGAACCUACUUCGAAAGUAAAAUUUCUCAGUGGGU
rnacentral:rRNA from 1 species